GCACUGCGGCCUUGGAUUGUUGGCCAGUUGAGCCCAUUGCGCUGGCAGUUUGCAACACUGUCCACUGUGCAUUGCGGAGUUUGAACAGAGAGGGGAGAUGGAGAGGUGUGGGGCAGUUGGACAUCGAGGAGAGCAGGAACAGCCGGCGCCUGGCGUCGUGGACAGCAGGACAUGGAGGGCCGAAACUCGGAGGAGAGUCUGGCGCCCGACGCGGCACUGUGGGUUGUGGCCACCGCGGCAUGGAGAUGGUGGAGUGGAGCCGGCCGAGCCACGGAGUGAAGCCACAGCCACCGGCAAGGGGCACAUGGUACGACCGCGGCGCAUCCGUGCUCG
rnacentral:misc_RNA from 1 species